AUUGAACGCUGGCGGAAUGCUUUACACAUGCGAGUCGAGCGGCAGCACGGGGGCAACCCUGGUGGCGAGCGGCGAACGGGUGAGUAACACAUCGGAACAUGCCCAGUCGUGGGGGAUAACACUUCGAAAGAAGUGCUAAUACCGCAUACGUCCUGAGGGAGAAAGCGGGGGAUCGCAAGACCUCGCGCGAUUGGAGUGGCCGAUGUCAGAUUAGCUAGUUGGUGGGGUAAAGGCCUACCAAGGCAACGAUCUGUAGCUGGUCUGAGAGGAUGAUCAGCCACACUGGGACUGAGACACGGCCCAGACUCCUACGGGAGGCAGCAGUGGGGAAUUUUGGACAAUGGGGGCAACCCUGAUCCAGCCAUUCCGCGUGAGUGAAGAAGGCCUUCGGGUUGUAAAGCUCUUUCGGCAGGAACGAAACGGUGAGCUCUAACAUAGCUUGCUAAUGACGGUACCUGAAAAAGAAGCACCGGCUAACUACGUG
rnacentral:rRNA from 1 species